rnacentral:rRNA from 1 species
GAUGAACGCUGGCGGCGUGCUUAACACAUGCAAGUCGAACGGAAAGGCCACAGCUUGCUGUGGUACUCGAGUGGCGAACGGGUGAGUAACACGUGGGUGAUCUGCCCUGUACUUCGGGAUAAGCCUGGGAAACUGGGUCUAAUACCGGAUAGGAAUCACAUGUGGGUGUGUGGUUGGAAAGCUUUUGCGGUAUGGGAUGAGCUCGCGGCCUAUCAGCUUGUUGGUGGGGUAAUGGCCUACCAAGGCGUCGACGGGUAGCCGGCCUGAGAGGGUGUACGGCCACAUUGGGGCUGAGAUACGGCCCAGACUCCUACGGGAGGCAGCAGUGGGGAAUAUUGCACAAUGGGCGCAAGCCUGAUGCAGCGACGCCGCGUGGGGGAUGACGGCCUUCGGGUUGUAAACUCCUUUCGUCAGGGACGAAGCGAAAGUGACGGUACCUGGAUAAGAAGCACCGGCUAACUACGUG